AAAAGCAAGAAGAAAAAACCUUGCAAAAUAUUAGUAUACGAUAUCGAAGAGGAAGCAUAAUAGCCUUGACAAGAUGUAAAGCUUUCUCGGAAGAUCAUAAAAGGUUUUUGUCCUAAUUGUUGGUUUCCAGAUUGAAACAUAAAGUUCAGUUUUUUAUUUUUUGAUAAUGGAAUGAUCCCCAAAAUGUGCUGCCAAUGCAUAUCUUGACACCCUCAAAUUGUGUAGCAAACAAAAUGAGAAUUGCGAUUCUUCUGGAACACAAGAACCCGACGGCAACGAAUUCAUAUCAGCACUAGCAAUAGGAAUGAGUGCCAAAUUAAUGGUAGAAGUCACCUCUGAAGUCUCUCCAUCAACAGUGGCCUUAGCAGCAACAGCUCGUCAAACAGGAGGUAAAGUCGUGUGCAUUAUUCCAGAGCAAAAACUUUACAAGACUCAAAAAGUGAUCGAAGAAACGGGGCUAAAUGACAUGGUAGAGUUCAAGACAGGGGACCCUGGCGAUGUCUUGCCUAACUACGAGAACAUCGAUUUCUCUCUCUGAUUGCAAGACUAAAAAUUACGAUACGUUGAUUGAAAAACUCGAUGUAAAUCCAAAAAGAUCGGUUGUUUUUGCAAACAAUGUAGAAGGGAGAAAAGUAGUAAGAGGAAAAUUGAAAAAUGUAGUGCAUAAUGAGGUUAAAGUAAGGUCACGUAAUCAUCCUAUAGGUAAAGGAUUAGAGGUUACUAUGAUUGAAAAAAGCAGAUUAGGAAGUCAUAAUCAUCAAAAAGUAGAGAAAAAGAAAGGUAAUGUGAAAUUGAGUAAGAAAAGCAAAUGGGUAUCUGAGGUUGAUGAAAAAUGUGGUGAAGAACAUAUAUAUAGGAUGACAAAAUGAUAGUGAACUAAAUUGUCGAUAGUAUAUAGUUAAUAGUAUUAUAGUUUUUAUUUUUUUUAACACUUUGGUUUAUGAGAGAAAUGAAAAUGCUGGAUUUCUGGAUUUUAUCCUUGUUUUCUAAAAGCAUUUGAUGUAUAUAAGAAGUUUUCUAAUUAAAGAAA